rnacentral:lncRNA from 1 species
ACAGAUACACGACGAUCUAGAGAAGGAUCCGGACUAUUCUGGCUCUGGCUUUGGACCGGAUGACGAGGACGCCGAGCCGGAUCAUCACUCGCAGCACGGUUCGCACAACACGCGCAUCUCGCAGACCGGCGGCUCCAGCAUAAACAGUAAGCAUAAUUCGAACGACAACAGCCACAACGACGACCUCGACCACAUAUCGAGUAGAUUCAACAACAACAACAACAACCUGAACCAAAUCGACAACAACAACAGCCAGAAUAUUAAUUACAAUAAUAAUUAUAAUAAUAAUAAUAAUCCCAACCUUAAUAACAAUCACCAUCCAGCGAAUAGUGGCACAAUCAUUGGUAGUAGCACCACAGCGAACCAUAACAGUAAUCAGAAUCACAUCGGCGGCCAGAGCGGUGGCAUCAUCAGUGGCAGUGGUGGUGAGAUCGGUGGUCAUAGUGGCACUGGCAUUAACACAAUCGGUAAAGAUCAAGCUAGUUUUGUAGCUACUCUAAGCGAGACAUUCUAUCUUCUACUACUUCCACUACUUCAACUUCAACUCCUCCCUCUUCUACCCACCACCACCACACCACAGUACACCACAUUUUAGUUAUUACAAAUCCAACAAUUACACCAUCAACAGAUACAGAGCCGAAAACAACAACAACAACAGCAGCAACAGAUACAGUUACAGUUACAACAGUCAUUGCCAGCUUAGAUUAUAGUUAUGUUAGAUCUAGAGACAACAACACUAACAAUCAAUCAUUCACAACAUCUACAAGAACACCAACACCAACAACCCCAUCUCUAUAUCCAGCAGCUCAUACACCAACACAAACCUCAUCCACAACCUCAACAACAACAAGCAGUUCACCAACAACGACAAGCAGCAGCAGCAGCACCACCACCACCAGCACCAGUACGACAACUGCGGCCACAACCACAUCAACCACAGCUGCCUCGAAUCGCACCCAAACCACGCCUAAGCCCCUUGUUGUCGAUUCCACCACAGCGAGCCGUCCCUUACCCCACUUCCCAGCCUUCGAUGAGGAGCUCGAUGUGGAUGAGGAUGCCAGUGGCGAUGGCAUCGAUGUGGAAGGUGGCGGCGAGGAUGAUGACGAGGGUGACGAUGACGACAUCAUCAUUGAUCAUCCCGAUUCCGGGAAGCCAAAGUUUGCAGUGCCCGUUCCCGAUGGUAGCGAUAACAUCGAUCAUGAUUCUGAUCAUGAUAUCGAUAGCGAUACCGAUGAUGGCGAUGGUGAUAAUGAUGACACCGACGAUGAUGAUAGCAUCAUCGAUGUGGAUGGCGGCAAUGAGGAUGGCACUACCAACGGGAAUGGAAAUGGAAAUGGAAUCCGUGGCAACGAUGGAGACCUCAACACAGAGCGCGGACGUCAGUGGUUUUUAUUUUUACUCCUCUUUUUUAUACUUUCCUUUUGAUUAUUUGCUUUUUUUUGUUUGUCUAUCCGUUUUGCCUUUGCUUUUUAUGUUGUGUUUUUUGUAUUUUGUGUUUCAUUGUUGCUUCUUGUUUUGUCCUCCUCCCACCCACAAUGCGAUUCCUUUUUGUGUUAUGUCUCUGCCCCCAGCUUAUGUUUUGGAGAGACACCAAUUGUGGUAUCUCCGGCACUGCAUUCCUUUUAUCGUAUUUUAUUUAACAUUAUAUUUAUUUUAUUUGUAUCUUCUAAAGCACUUUUUUCAACAGCAAACAAAGUUUUCUCGCUUGCAUUGUAGUUGAUUUCUUGGGUAUUUGCUUUGGUUUCUGUUACGUUACGUUAUGUUACGUAGUUUGAUUGGUGCACACAUUCAAGUAUAUAGAAUAUUCCUUACAAUUACUUACAUAUAUAUAUUUGUUAAGUUUUACCUUAGUUUUUCUCUACUGCGCGCUCUGGCAACGAACAAUGCUGCGGGGUUUCCUUUUGUGUGGACUUUUACAUGGAAUUCCUCCCCGCACACCCCGGCUAUACAAUGGCCAAUACACCAUAAUUCCCACACUUUCAUUCUGUGACCAAUUUUCAUCCAUUGACCAUACCAUUCCAUUCGAUUCAUUCAUUCAUUCAUUCAGUCUGCUUUUGGCAUUUAUUCAUUCAUUUGUUCGAUUGGAAAAACUCCCGCAGAGCCAACACAAUUCCAUUGGCUCGAACCUCAACCUCAACCUCACGCUCAUUCUCAUUCACAUUCUCAUAGACUUUAGUGUUAACCCUAGGAUAAAGCUAUUCUAAGUCACAUAAUUUAAGGAUAGCUUAAGUGUGUUUUAUGUACGCAUCAAAUGAGAACGGUAGACGGGGCAUCCACCAUCCAUCGAUUCAUCGAUUGAGAUGCACCCGCACACGCCCUCCAUCAAGGUUCUGCAUAUAGAGAGUCCUGCCCUAGGCCCAAAGUUCCAUCAACACUGUCGCGGCUCCCCCCUGAAGAACCGCCCUGGAAUCACACUAAGCCGCACAGUGAUUUUGUGCUUUGUUGCUCUUCGAGUGGAAAGCACUUGGAAAGCGCUCCUCACUGCGCUCCACUUGAAAUGAAAAAUCACCAAGUCCCUGGCAAUGGCAGUGGCAAGGAGCGCCUCCAAAUCCACUCCACACAAAACUCCCAACGACUUGGGGGCAUUGUUGCUCUUACCCCGAAACCCAUUCAUCCUUUGUGUAUGUGGCAAACACUAUUUAUGAAGCGAGUGGGGAGGGAGGGAGAGCACAAACAAAGUCUAAUGGGAACCCAGGAGUGGAUCUGAUAGGUGUAUGGGCACUGUGUGUGUGUGCGUGCGUGGGCUGCGAAUAUAUGGCCAGCUUUGAUGUUUGUGCCAGUGCCAGUGCCACGCCCAGUAUAAACACGAAGCACAAACCAUGUGGCAUAUGGCAGGCGUCUAGCACACAGCAGGACCACAAUUUCGGCCAUAAUUGCGUCCACAGCUGUCCAUAUGCUUUAUACUGAGCAUUAAAUCCUGCAGUUCCUAGUGCCAGCAAGUCCAGCAUUAAGUGCAUUUCUCCCCGUCCCACAUCCAAUCGGAGAUACACGGAUGGAUACACCUUUAUUGGCUUCGUGCAAGCAGACAGACAGACAGACAGACAGACACACAAUCAGUUUGAUGGAUACACAUAGACAGGAAUGCUCUAUCACAGGAUGAAGUUAUCUCAAAAUCAGAAGAUGGCAGAUGAGAAAAUGGCAUUAAAAGGCAAAUAUUUCAUUUAUAGCUUCACCGUGGAUGGAGUUCUCGUCGGGUCAGACGCGACUUUGAGAUGUGUGCUUCGAUUCGAUCAUUUUCCAAUGAUUUGCUUGAGUUUCAAUUCGAUUACGAGUGUGUGUCUGGCGGCAAUUCAAUAAGCCUUUUGGCCAUUACCUAAUUAGCAUGCCACUCUCCCAAUCUCACUUACUCCGCACCAAUCUACUCCCCCAAGGAGGGGUGGAGCAUAAGCCACACACAUGUGUGUGGGUAUGUUUCAUGGGGCAAAGUACAUGGGCUAAACAAGCAAAUUGUUUGUCUUAAGCAUAGGGAGGCCAAAGCGGAUUGGGAUCCAGAUGGAAAGAUGAAAACAGACUAGGGGUCAUGGGGUUAAACAAUGGCUCAACAAAGCACAAAGAACACACACGUAAUAAGUGAAGUGGAGGGAGGGAUGUGGGUGUGGGUGUGGGUGUGGGUGUGGCUGUCAAUUAAAUUAAUUUAAAUUUACUUUCUUUGACAGCCAAAUUGUCAUUCAAAUUGCUCUUCUCUUUCAACAUGUCGCUCUCGUGUCAGAUCCGUGAAUACUUUUGAGGUAGGUGUCCAUGGAUUCACCAUCUAUCAUCUCGAAACUGCUCUCGCCUUACGCUGAAGCCUACUGAGAUUUCCCCCAUGCAAAUUUGUCACAAUUUGCAUUACUCCGCCUCUCGGCUGCUAACUUUUUUCAUUUGGCCAUAACUUUUCCGUAUUGCUCAUUAGCGUGAAAUGAGCUCAAAAGUUGGGCUCGUGCGGGUGGGCAAACAAUCAGACAGACAGUCAGUCGGAUGGAUGGGUGGUAGGAGCCGCCGGCAGUACGUAGUCUAGUUUUAUAAGACUUGAAGUUCGGCAUAAGGUAUCCUUUCUACUUGUAAACGUAGUCCCGAAUCACAACUCUACUAACCGUAAGCCUUGUAUAUAUCGCAUAAAAUAUCAUUAACACACGUAACAUAACCACCCUGAAACAGAUAUAGACACUCGAUCCGAUCGGAUAUCGGAGUACUCACCCGCAACAACAGAUCUAUGUCUCUCACUCACAUAAACACACACACACACACACACACACACACACACACACACAUAAACACACACACUAUCUGUUUUUGUAUUAUUUUGCUUGCACGUCAUGGGCAUUCUCGUAAAUGGAUAAUUUUAAUCCCCAGCUAUGACACUCAAUCUCAUCUCUGACUUUAUGCUCUAUUUUCUUGGCACAGCGGGAGGUGGCAGCAGCGUGCACGAGUUGGACCCGAAUACGAACGUAAACAGCCAGCCCUCCGACACAAAGCCCGUCGACCACAGGCCCAACGGCAACGAGGUGGUCAUCAUGAGCGAGGACGAUCGUACGUCGAGCUUCUUCUCGCAGCCAGGAAUACUGGCAGGUAAGAGGCCAUUCCCUCCUUGUUCACCCGACAAUCUCUGACCAUACAUUUUUUCUCAUCCCUGCACCUUUAGCUGUCAUUGGCGGUGCCGUGGUUGGCCUGCUUUGCGCCAUUCUUGUGGUGAUGUUCAUCGUGUACCGCAUGCGGAAAAAGGACGAGGGCUCCUACGCCCUGGAUGAGCCGAAGCGCUCCCCGGCCAACAAUUCCUAUGCGAAAAAUGCGAAUAAUCGCGAGUUCUACGCCUGAGAUAAUGGCACAUCGCGCAGGUAUUAAGUGAGCCAUGAGUGAGGAUCCACCCGUAUGGAGAUCCAUCUCGAACGGGAUACGGAUCUUAGCGGAGGAGGAGAUGACGGCUCAUCUCGAUACACUGUGCGGAGUGCGAAGCGCGGAAGGAGCAGCGCCAUCAGCAGCCAUCUGCCACAAUGAGUAAUCAUCAGCAACAGCAACAGCAAACAGCAAAAGCAAAAGCAACAAAACUAACACAAAUUCAAUGAAAAUCGAAGGCAUCUUCGGAUCACAUACAAUUUUUCGUUGGGGGGGUAAACUAAACGCAUUAAACCAUGAACAACCAAGUAAAAGCGUGCAGAGAUUCGAGAGGAACACAUAAACAAAAACAAUUCAAAACUUACCUGUAAGCUAAUGCCGGACGGUUGACGGAGGAGGGCGACUUUUCUAAUUAAGUAAAUUUUAAGCGACGAAAACAAAAGGAAAACCAAUAUCAAAUAUGAAUGGAAGCGCACGCAAAUCGUGCGAAAUCUAAUAUAUAAUUAAUAUAUAUUAUAUUCAUAGUGAAACCAAUAUAAGGGCGGGCAAAAUUAAGCGAAUUAAUUAUGAAUUACGAGUAUGUAGAGCAAAGGCAGGAGGAGAGCGAGAAAUAAUACCUAUAAUAAUACCACAAAACACGACGCAGCGCCUACAUGGACGAUGUGGAUGGAGGCAGCGACAGACGCAUAUUGAAUACACAAUUAUGAAUAUACGAGUAUAUGUUAGCUGAAUAAUGGAAGCGAAUUGGAUAUAUCAUGAUUAUACACCCGCUCUCGAAAGACCCCUUUAAAUCCAAUGGUCAGUCACUUCCGCCAUCCAUUUCACACCACGGAAAAAAGAGAAUAAAAGUUAAUCCGUUGGGAAUACCAAUAAUUAUUGUGAAUUGCGAAUUGUGCGACACAUAACAAGCGGAAAUUGAUUCAUAAAUUAAUGUUUUUAGGUUAAACAUAAGCAAAACUAUGUAAUUAUUAGUGUAAUUCCUAAAACAAAAACAAGAAGAACCACACAAAUGGAAAAAUACAAAAAAAAAACUUUAAGAGAAAAACGAAAAAUACUAAAUGAAGCAAAAAAACAGAAUACGAACACUCUCUGAACCUUCCUGGCAACUAAACAAACUAAAAAGGAAUUAGUAAUGAAAUGAAGAGAACUAUUUCUACUUUUUUCUAAAUAAAAAAAACACACACAAAAACUUGAAUAUUUAUUGAAAUUGAGAUUGAAAAUAAUAAUGAAAAACGAAAUCGAAAAGUAUAUAAGGACAUAAAACGUCCAGAAAGCGAUUGUACAUUAAUUUAGUAUUCCAUAUGGGUUUUAAAAUUAAUCGGCCAGUCUCCCACGCUCGACUCCACUGCUUCUUCCAUGGCUAAGAAUCAAAAUCGGAUUACGCAUUGAUUAUUGUGCAUUUAUUUAGUUUUUACGUUCGCUGUCAGUGACAAUUGUUUAUUUUUGCAAGCAAAAUACAAGUCCGAAGAACGAAGAACACAAAACAACACGAGCCAACCCAAUCCAAUCCAAUCCAAUCAAAUAAAAUCAAAUCCAAUCCAUUACCACAUGCAAUAGUAAAAAUUACUUGUUAAGUUUACAAUUGAAAUGAAACGCAAACCAGCAGGAAAUGUUAAUGACUCAGCCCUCAAAUUAGCUGCAAUACUUGUUUAAUUGUUAGUCAACCCAUAUUCUCUCCAGCUCUAAUGCCAUAUUUUCAUUACGAAAAGAAGUUAUAAGAACGAAAAAUACUAAUACAUAAUACAUUUAUAUACAAGUAUAUAUAAUUAGCAACAUAAAUCAAUUGUGUGUGUAAAUGUGUGUAAUGCAUAAAUAAUUAAUUAAACAUACAUAUACAUACAUACUACUACUGCGACAACAGAGCGUGCACCAAAGGGGGAAGGAAGCUCUCGGAGAACAUCAUCAUCGAUACAUACUCGUACUUCCCCCAAAUCUAAACCUAAAACCAACCCAAACUCACACAAACAAACAAAAAAGAGAACAACAGCCACAGACACAGCCACAGCCACAUCAGCAAGAGCGACAACAAGAACUAAACAUUUUUCUGAAUACAACUUUUUCUACACUGUAAAAAACGCAACUGCAACUCUUUUGAUAUGUACGAGUACUAUGUUUUGUCCUACUCUCGACCCAUAGUACCUAUUUGUCCAAUUUUACAUACACUUUUUUUGCUAAUUUGUAAGCUUAGUUUGUUAGUUUUUUAAAUGCGCUGAAUGUACUGAGAAAUUGGUUUUGAUUUGCUAAAUAAACUGGUAUAAAACUAAUUUAAACAAAACGAAA